CCUCAUAACCCAUUUCAUAGAGCAUCAUCAUCUAACCCUCUGCACUUGUUCGGAACACGUCCCCGGAGACAUCAAACGGAUAUGGGACAAAACGGGGUAUUCGAAAGUGAAAACAUACGUGCAAAUAGCCUUGGCCUUU
ensembl:ncRNA C09G5.11 ncRNA